AGAGUUUGAUCAUGGCUCAGAAUGAACGUUGGCGGCGUGGAUUAGGCAUGCAAGUCGCGCGACAAGGUUUCUUUAGCUUGCUAUAGAAACUGGAGGAGCGGCGAAAGGGUGAGGAACACGUGGAUUACCUACCCUCAGGCUCGGGAUAGCGGCGGGAAACUGCCGGUAAUACCGAAUAACAUCUCCGGAUCAAAGCUCCGGCACCUGAGGACGGGUCCGCGUCCCAUUAGCUAGUUGGCGGGGUAAUGGCCCACCAAGGCUGAGAUGGGUAGUGGGCGUGAGAGCGUGACCCACCACACUGGGACUGAGACACUGCCCAGACACCUACGGGUGGCUGCAGUCGAGGAUCUUCGGCAAUGGGCGCAAGCCUGACCGAGCGACGCCGCGUGCGGGAUGAAGGCCUUCGGGUUGUAAACCGCUGUCAGAGGGGAGCAAAUUUUGAGCGAUCCUCAGAGGAAGCCCGGGCUAAGUUCGUGCCAGCAGCCGCGGUAAUACGAACCGGGCAAACGUUAUUCGGAAUCACUGGGCUUAAAGGGUGCGUAGGCGGCGCUUCAAGUCGGGUGUGAAAUCCCUCGGCUCAACCGAGGAAUUGCGCCCGAUACUGUCGUGCUUGAGGAGGAUAGAGGUGAGCGGAACUAGCAGUGGAGCGGUGAAAUGCGUUGAUAUUGCUGGGAACACCCGUGGCGAAAGCGGCUCACUGGGUCCUUUCUGACGCUGAGGCACGAAAGCUAGGGUAGCGAACGGGAUUAGAUACCCUAGUAGUCC
rnacentral:rRNA from 1 species